CGGCGGACGGGUGAGUAACGCGUGGGUAACCUGCCCUAUACACAUGGAUAACAUACUGAAAAGUUUACUAAUACAUGAUAAUAUAUAUUUGCGGCAUCGCAGAUAUAUCAAAGUGUUAGCGGUAUAGGAUGGACCCGCGUCUGAUUAGCUAGUUGGUGAGAUAACUGCCCACCAAGGCGACGAUCAGUAGCCGACCUGAGAGGGUGAUCGGCCACAUUGGAACUGAGACACGGUCCAAACUCCUACGGGAGGCAGCAGUGGGGAAUAUUGCACAAUGGGCGAAAGCCUGAUGCAGCAACGCCGCGUGAACGAUGAAGGUCUUCGGAUCGUAAAGUUCUGUUGCAGGGGAAGAUAAUGACGGUACCCUGUGAGGAAGCCCCGGCUAACUACGUGCCAGCAGCCGCGGUAAUACGUAGGGGGCUAGCGUUAUCCGGAUUUACUGGGCGUAAAGGGUGCGUANGUGGUCCUUCAAGUCGGUGGUUAAAGGCUACGGCUCAACCGUAGUAAGCCGCCGAA
rnacentral:rRNA from 1 species